GCUGUAAACGAUGUCGAUUUGGAGUUUGUUGCCUAGAGUGAUGGGCUCCGAAGCUAACGCGAUAAAUCGACCGCCUGGGGAGUACGGCCGCAAGGUUAAAACUCAAAUGAAUUGACGGGGGCCCGCACAAGCGGUGGAGCAUGUGGUUUAAUUCGAUGCAACGCGAAGAACCUUACCUGGUCUUGACAUCCAUAGAAUUCUGCAGAGAUGUGGGAGUGCCUUCGGGAACUAUGAGACAGGUGCUGCAUGGCUGUCGUCAGCUCGUGUUGUGAAAUGUUGGGUUAAGUCCCGCAACGAGCGCAACCCUUAUUCUUUGUUGCCAGCGAUUUGGUCGGGAACUCAAAGGAGACUGCCGUUGAUAAAGCGGAGGAAGGUGGGGACGACGUCAAGUCAUCAUGGCCCUUACGACCAGGGCUACACACGUGCUACAAUGGCGUAUACAAAGGGAAGCGAAGGUGCGAGCUGGAGCGGAUCUCAUAAAGUACGUCUAAGUUCGGAUUGGAGUCUGCAACUCGACUCCAUGAAGUCGGAAUCGCUAGUAAUCGUAGAUCAGAAUGCUACGGUGAAUACGCUCCCGGGCCUUGUACACACCGCCCGUCACACCAUGGGAGUGGGUUGCACCAGAAGUAGAUAGCUUAACCGCGAGGGGGGCGUUUACCACGGUGUGAUUCAUGACUGGGGUGAAGUCGUAACAAGGUAACCA
rnacentral:rRNA from 1 species